rnacentral:lncRNA from 1 species
CAGCCAUGUUAAGGCUUCUCCCCUUGACGUUUUGUUUGGCCAAAGGGAGGCAUGUGCUGAGCCUCGGAGUUCAAGCGAGGUGGCCCAUAGGUGGGACGCGAACCUCUCCUCCGAGGUGUCGAGGUAGUGCAACAUGUUAAUUUAAUCACUGAAUUUUAUUGAACCAUAGAAAUGUUACAAAGGCUGGGAAAGGUCGUCCAACAAGAUAGUACAUUCAUUGGUAAUAGAUUCUGUGGUGUUCAAUGUUCCAUGGACGGGGUUGUGCCUUGCCGUUCAUGUCUUCAAUCCAGUAAGUCUCAGGUCAAAUUUUUUCUCUGAUUUUGUAUGGACCUUCCCAGUUUGGGCCUAGAGAACCGGAACCAGGUCCUUUUGAGGACAGGAAGACCCUUCUGAGUACAAGGUCGUUGAUUCGAAAUGACAUCUUCUUGACUUUCGAGUUGAAGUACCUUGUCAUCUUUCUCUGAUAUGUGUCGAGCUUCAAUUGGGAGUCAUCUCUUCUUUCUUCAAUGAAGUCGAGGUUGAGCCUCCGAAGCUCAUCGUUAGUUAUCUUACUAAAGUGCAGAUGUCUCGGGGAUGGAAGUCCGACCUCCACGGGGCUCAUCACCUCAAUUCCAAAUGCCAUGUGGAAAAGUGCUUCUUUAUGUCGAGCUCUUCGCAUAAUUCUCUAACCUUCUUGUUGUCAAACUGUCUGCCAUUGUCCGAGACAAUUGAGUGGGGAAUUCCGAACCGGGAAAUAAUACUUUUCCAUAAGAACUUG